AGUCAGCUGAGCAGCACCGAGCUCCUGCCAGUGGAAGUGCUGGUGGAAUUCGGUUCCGAUUUCAGCCCCGACUCUCUGCUCCUUCCUCGUGCCCCGUUCUGGCUGUCGGCAGCUCCUCAGCAUCACACCGUGGUCAGGAACAUCUCAAUUCAUUUUCAGACAUCCUCUUUUAGCUGUAGCCCUCUCUUUGUGUUCAAAAACCGCGCCCUCUCCCAGCGGGAUCACUUCUGUUUUAUGAGUUCAAAAUGCUGGGGAGUUGCAUCAUGAGCACGUCAGGCUUCUUCUGCACAGGCAGCAGUGAGGAAAGGCUGGGGAACCGUCUGCCCCCUCCCAGCAGCUCUGCAGGACGGCUCUGGGCUCGGGGAAAUCCAUCUUGGACCUGGCUGGGCUUGCUUAUGAAGUACAAUCUGUCUGAAGUAGCCACGAUGAGGAAGAGACCUCGCAGCAGAAGGGAUGUUACAGAUGAAGCAGCUGAUUAAAGCCUGUCCUGUACCUUCAGAAUGAUUUUUGUGGACAUGGUAAAGAGGAAAAGCAUGCAGCUUAAUGUUUGCUAAAAAGAAAUGCUUGAGAGGGAAAGAAAAAUCACUGUCUUUGUGAGAAGUGCACUGUUCACUAGUAAUAAUAAUAAUAAUAAUAAUAUAAUUAUUAUGUAAUAGUUGUUGAAUAAUAGUUGUUACUGUUGUGUUGUGCCUGUCUCUCCAUCCCAGGGCUCCAUGGAACUCUGGUGAUCCC
rnacentral:lncRNA from 1 species